AAAAAAUCUCGAUCUUGGCUAGGUGUUUAUAGCCGAAAAUUUUUUUUUGGCUAUAACCGAAACCAAUAUAAUCACAUUUAGUUAUCGAU
rnacentral:rRNA from 1 species